CCCAGAUCAAAAAGCUUUACCCUCUCGGUAUUUCUCAGAAGAUAUCUUGCUUGUUCCUGGAUGGAGGAAGGCAUGGAGAGCUGCGAGGAAGUGAGACUCUCAAGAGUGGACAAACCAGUUUCUCAGCUAACACCUCCACAGGCAUCACUGACUCCAGGGACUGGCCAACCUGAACUGGAGAGACAGGAUGUGCCUUUGACCCAGCACAUGGGAGCAGCCUUCUCACAGAGAGAUGCCCAUUUCAGCUGCUCCUAGGGACAGCACCUCAUUCAGACUGCCUGAGGCUGUAACCAACAACAGCAUUUUUGGGCCGUGCAACAGUGGCUGACGCCUUGAUUUACAGGCAUAAAGGUUUAGUCAUCUUUGUCCAACACAGUACCAGGCCAUAGGCCCAGUGGAGUUUUCCAGAAGCUACAUGACAUAGGAUAAUAUCAUCAUUCUCACAACUAAUGAAAGUUAUAGAAUCACAGUAUCCUCUGUCAUCUAACGGAGUUAACUGACAGAGAUAAGGACAGAAGGGCGACCUCCAUUUAUCUCCUUUUUUCUUCAUGGGCUGAAUCCUGAGGGACCUCCAGGAGCCAUCUCCAGCCCCCUGACCUGAAGGAAGAGCUGAAAUAAUUUCCACAGAAAACUCAUGUCUUAGAAACAAGGAAAUGAUGCCUAUUAUAACACAAUUAAGAAUCUUUACCAAAA